GCACUGAAAACACUCAUUUGCAAGAGUUUCAGAAGAGGCUCAGUACUUUGAGGGGAAAAAUAGGCCAUUUAGACACCUAAAGUAAAUAUGGCUUUAAAUAAGGUCCAACUUUGAAAUUUUUCAGCAAACUACUUUUUAGUAGCCAGAAUAUUCUUCUUUAGAAAUAUAAAGGCUUGUGCAAAACUUGAGCCACAAGCAAGAGAAAAAUUAAGUACAACUCCUGUUUUUCUGCAGAGCUGUCAAGGCACCUAAAACUUGAAUGGGUCAGAGGUAACUUUGUAGAAAUUGCUUCAACAGUGAUUUGACCACUGUACAUUUAUUUAGUGGUCAGAAGAAGGGAAACCUUUGACCUCUGAGUAUAGGCUGCAGCUGCACCUUAUCUUGUCUGACUAAUCACAUUGCAGUGCCAACACUACCACGCUCUACCAUUACAGUUCAGCUGCCACAUGUGAACCUUGCAUCCACCCUGCUGUUUGUAGGUCAGAAGUUUGCAACAGCACUUCUCUUCCCAUGAAGAUUCACAGUGGACAGAGAAAGGCAAGAUUUAAAUAAGGUGAGCGAGAUGGCAGGUUGAACAUGUCCAGCUGUAAGGAGAGAAGAUGAAGGGAGUACCUUCUUAAAGUUUUUGGCACUGAAAAAUCCCCUACUGUGUUAUGCUGGAGAAUAUUUACUACCACCAUCUAGUGGUAAAAAAGGCAGCCAUGUGGCAUUAAGUGAAUUUCAUUCAGGUGAAAUGUAUCAGAUUAUUAGCCCUGUAGAUUCCAGUUCUCUACAGGUACACAGAGGCAGACAUUUUGACUGAACUUGGAAUGAGUACCACACUGUAAAAGAUUAGUUCAUCUAUUCCCAUCCAGUCACUGGUCCUUUCAGCUGAGUCUUGCUAAGUGACAAUUUCUGUCAAUUGCUCUAUUCAGCUGGGAACUGAACUGUAAUAAAUUCGUGAUUGAGUUUAUAUGGGCCAAACGAGCUAUCAGACAGUAAGCAUUUUUAGUCAGAUGAGGCUUGAAUUGGGGAACCUAGAGGUGAAAGCAUCUGCAUCCUGUUACCAAUCCCAUGAGCUGUCUGGUGCUGUUCCUUUAUUAUAAUCCUUUUGCCUGGAAUUUUCCACUAUUGUGUUUGUCCUGUCAGGGAAUAGGAUCCAAACUUUAUGACCAUUAACAGUCAUGCACUGAGCUAGGCAAUACUUGUAAUUGUUUUUGAUUUUUCUGUUGACCUCUUAGGGGGAAAAAAAGUAAUUCAGGUACUGUUAUUUAGCAGUCAGCGAAAACACACAAAUACUGAAGAGGAAAAAAUACCCUGGAUAAACGAGCUCUAGCACUGGCCCCAUGAGCUCACAGUGUGGAGAAGGUUAGAAGUCCGACACAACUCAAUGAAAAAAACAAUUUCAUUUCUAUUAGCAGCUACCACUGCCACUGAGACGCUUGCAACAUGGCAUUUCCCAGCAAGCUAUCAACAAACAGGACACUGGCUCCUAGUAAAUAAGUUUUUGUUUUUUCCCAGACAAAAAAAAAAAGUCCAACAAUAGUGGGACCAGCACUGCUCCUGGUUCACAGGAAAUGCUUACUGUGUCACCACUAGUCUGAGGGCUGUAUGAGGUCACGAGUUGCAUGGAAGAAAGACUAAGUCACAUGCAGCAGUUUCUAUUCAAAAUCUCUUUCUGAUAAAGUUCUAUGGGGGAAAAAUAGUUCCUUGUAAGUAUAAAACAAAAGAUCUGACAUGGGAAUAGAAUUUAGCUUCUAUUUUCACCUGUCAAAUCAUCACCUAGAGAUUUGCUUGUAUUCUUGACAUAACCAAAAAUCAGAAACAAAGAGAAAUAAACACCAGACAAGUAUAUGUGCACAUAACAUAAAAAGCCAUUGUGUUUUGCAAAUACUAUGCAUUCUGCACUACUGUUCCUUAAUUAAAAUACUGAAUUUUGCUCAAUAUUGGCAAUAAUCCUUUACCUAGUUAAGUUUUCCAGACCAGUUGUUACAGACCUUGUAUUUUGUUAUUAUAACAACAAACAGUACUAGGACAAGAUCAAUAAAUAUUUGUCAAUCUCAACACAAAAAUAAUUUUCAAGAGCCUGUAAAUAAGUGUAAAAAACCCUCAAUGUCUUCACAUAGUCUCAUUAGAAGAGAAUUUUAUAGAGCAGUGUCAGCUUUGUUUAUACAAACCCCCUGAAAGAGGAAGAAAUUAAGAAUGGGGCUUCUGAGAGAAGAAUGCACUUUUAAAUAAAGGUUUUUAUAUUCCUUCCCUUUGAAUUAGGCAAAUAUUUUUAAUGCUAAGUUGUAACUCAUUCAUUAUUUCCCCAAAGACAGUGGGAACAUGGAGGUUGCCAGAAGAUUGCACGCUCACCCUGGUGAGCAUUAUUUUCACUAUGAAUCUUUAUCAGAAAUGUUAAACAGACUAUACCCCUCUAUUCUUCAUACGAAACCUCCUUGUAACAUUCCUGCAAAUCAGAUGGUUCAAUCUCAGAAGGUUUAGGGUUCAAAAUAGACUCUGAACUACCUGGAGGUUCCCUUUACCUGGAGUAGUCAUCUCCCGUGGUCUGCUACUCCUGAUAUGCUCAGGGGAGGGAUGCAGGCCAGUUCCCACCUCUCCUGGAAACUUCAGAAGUUGUCUUUCCCAUUAUUCACCCCAGAUUCCUAUCCUCCCCAUAAAUGAUUCUUUCCAUUUCUCUCUAAUUCUCCUAUUGAUUCUGUUCUCUUAAUCCCCCAGCCCCAAUGACAGUCCCAUUUAUCUGAUUCAUUCUGCGUUACUCUACUGGCAUGUCCCAUAACUGAUUCUCCCUUCUCGCCAUGAAGGAAGCUGCUCCAUGUCUGAAAAAUCACUUUGGUCUGUGAACUUGACAUCACUACUAGCAGCAAGAGGACUGGCUUGGAGCCAGGCAGAGGGCAUAGCAUUCUUCAACCAGCCUACCACCCGUUCUGCUCUGAGAUCACUGCUGAGGUUAGGCUGACAGGUCUGUAGUUUCCUGGAUUCUCUCUCUUUUUUUUU